GCGCGCGCGCGCGUCCGUGUCCUCGCGUGCUUGUGUCGCGUCUCGAGCGCUCAGCGCAGCCAUUACGACAGAGAGCCGCUCGGUGACGCUCGGCUAACCGCUAACGUUGUGUAGUAAGUCGCGAGCGCGACGAUAGCGUGACCACGUUGUUGUUGCACGCGUGAACUGACGCAGUGAAUCUCGCCGACGCCGUCUGCCCUGCCGCGUAGUACGAGCGUGAGCACGUGUGCGCACGCGAGAGACAGAACGAAUUAACGUAAGAGGUCGAUCGGCCGCCGCCGCCGCCGUCGCUGUCGCCACCGAACUUCGAAGGGGGUUGGCGUUACGCGAGUGAGAACGAGGAAGCGCGGAAGCUGCCGAGCGUGACUCCCGAACGCGCACGACACACGGCUGUCGCGUCGUGGAACCUGGAGACCUCUACAAAACGAAUUCGGUUUGUGACUGGACCGGUUGGCGAUCGAACGCGUGUGCGUGAGUACUUAGGGCGAGUGGUCGGAUCACAGUCGAUUGAGAAAAAGGAAAGAGGGCUAACGACGCGCUGCCACCGCCACCAUGUUUGACGUGUUCGGCUCUGUGAAGGGGCUGCUCAAGCUCGACACCGUCUGCAUCGACAACAAUGUGUUUCGAUUGCACUACAAGGCCACCGUGGUCAUACUGAUCAUCUUCUCCCUCCUGGUGACCUCCCGGCAAUAUAUUGGCGACCCGAUCGAUUGUAUCGUCGAUGAAAUCCCGUUGCACGUGAUGGACACCUACUGCUGGAUCUACUCCACCUUCACGAUCCCGGAUCGAACCGGCAUAGUGGGCAAGGACCUGGUGCAACCGGGAGUUGCCGCGCACAUCGAGGGCAAGGAUCAAAUCAAGUAUCAUAAAUACUAUCAGUGGGUCUGCUUUACCCUCUUCUUCCAGGCGAUCCUUUUCUAUGUUCCACGCUACCUCUGGAAAACGUGGGAGGGUGGCAGGAUCAAGAUGCUGGUGCUGGACCUCAAUUGUCCGGUAGUCAGCGAAGAUUGUAAGAGCGACCGACGUAAAUUGCUGGUCGACUAUUUCACCUCGAACCUGCACUCGCAGAACUUCUACGCGUAUCGCUUCUUCCUGUGCGAAUUGUUGAACUUUAUCAACGUGGUCGGCCAGAUCUUUUUCAUAGAUUUCUUCCUGGACGGCGAGUUCACCACGUACGGCUCCGAUGUCAUCAAGUUCACGGAGAUGGAACCUGAGGAACGUAUCGAUCCCAUGUCCAAGGUGUUCCCGAAGGUUACCAAGUGCACAUUCCAUAAAUAUGGUGCGUCUGGCACAGUGCAGAAAUUCGACGGGCUCUGUGUGCUGCCGCUCAAUAUCGUCAACGAGAAGAUCUACGUGUUCCUCUGGUUUUGGUUCAUCAUCUUAUCGAUCCUGAGCGGUCUUAGCCUGCUCUAUCGUGCAGCAGUAGUACUCGGCCCGAAACUACGAAGCGUGCUGCUACGAGCACGCUCGCGUCUCUCGCCACAUGACCAAAUUAAAAUCAUCAGCGACAAGUGUCAGAUCGGCGAUUGGUUUGUCCUGUAUCAACUCGGCAAGAACAUCGAUCCAUUGGUGUACAAGCAACUCGUCGCUGAUCUUGCAACUAAGCUGCAAGGCAAGGAGAAUGUGUAACAUCAAGCGAUCGCGAAGGAUCUCUUCAAGGAACGCUUCCACCCAAGUUCUCCGGAAGGUUCCUCGUCUCUCUCCCCGAGUAAUAACCCUGCUCGACUUAGGGAAGAAGCAAACGGUAGGAUGUCUCUAAAUUGGAGAUGAGAGUAAGAGAUAAAUGUAAAGAAAGAGAGAAAGAGAGAGAAGAGAAAGAGUGAGAGAGGGAGAGCUAUGUAUGAAUGUGUGUGUAUGCAUAAGUGCGUAGAUAUUAAUUAACGCGCGUCUUCGCGUUUCGUCAUUCCAUGCACAAAAAAGAUGCACAGAAAAGACGUGUCCGCGAUUUUAUACGCGAAUACCGGGAAAUUAGAUGAUAGGCCAAGUUACAAUCGACGCGCUAUAUCUCGCGCAUUAGGUCUUUUUUUUUUAUAACGUAAAAUUAAUGUAUAUUUUUGAGGGGACCAAGUUGUAACGUCAUAGAUUAUUCUUCGUCAAUUCCUUUUUAUAAUACGGACUUACAAUGUAUGUAAAAGUGAUGCGUCGAGGGACCAUGUUGUAACGCUACAAGUAUAUUUCUACGAUUUUUCUCUUGUUUUUUUUAAAAUGGUAUAAUAAGACUGGUACCAUGAAUUGGCGAUUAGUAUGGUAAUACCGCAGCGAUGUUUCAACAUAACAUUAAAAAUGUACUGCAUAAGAAAAGAAUUUUUAUAUUAAGUAAUUUAUGCGCAAUGUAAUUACGUGAACGAGGAAGUUUGCUUUUAGUUCACUCGUCCAUCGACAUCACAUGUGUUUCAAGUGAUAGUUUAGAAUUUAGAUAUUUUUCAAUACGUAUAAGAGGUAAAUGAAAAAAAAAAGGAGAGCACUACCUUUUACCAUUUGUAUAUUCUACACAUAAAUUGCGAGCGCGAACAUCAGUUACUUUAAUGUCCCACUGACGUGUUCACGUGGAAUACCUAAUAUCGCAUUACUAUCCGAACCGAGUACUCCGACUCGCUUGUACUAUUCGACAGAGAUUGAAACGUGACUACCCGCGGUGCCGUAUCAGCGAUACUUUCUGCUUCGUCAGUUGUGCGAGCGUGGAAAAAUUAAUGGUUGAUUUGAUGGCGCUCGAGACGAUUGUUCAAGUAUUAUCAAGAUAACGGCAUCGAGAUAAUGAUAAAGGAUUUAAGCGUGCAGGAUACGAAUAUUAAGUGGAAAAAAUGGUUUUGCUGAAG